UUGAAUAAUAAGUGAUAAAAGCCAGUUAAGAUAAAAAGCGUUAUUACGAAGUACAGUGUUUUAUUUUUAGAUUUGUAAUCAUAGGGAGUUUUUUUUUUUAAAGAGCAGGUGUUUUCCUAUAAGAUCAAUGAAAAAUAACAGAUACGAAUUUUUAAAAAUAAUUACUCAAGGCAAAUACCUGUCAGCGGAGGAGCAGGUCCACCUUCGGCGGCAGUAAUGACUCUCAGAGGCUGCCUUCUUGGGGCAGGAUUGAGAAGUCAAAUGCUGUUUCAAAGUAAGGGUGUAUUAUUCCUCGAAGACCCACUGAAACGUUGAUUUUUAUCUUUCUUUAUAAUAAAAUUGUUUUAAAACCUUU